rnacentral:snRNA from 1 species
GUGCUCGCUUCGGCAGCACACACACUAAAAUUGGAACAAUACAGGGCCAAUUAACAUGGCCCCUGUGCAAGGAUGACAUGCAAAUUCAUGAAGCAUUCCAUGUUUUU